AAUGAACGUUGGCGGCGUGGAUUAGGCAUGCAAGUCGCGCGACAAGGUUCCUUCGGGGACUGGAGGAGCGGCAAACGGGGUAGUAAGGCAUCGGAACGUACCCUCUCGUCUGGGAUAGCCACGGGAAACUGUGAGUAAUACCGGAUGAUAUCGAGAGAUCAAAGGUCCGCCGCGAGGGGAGCGGCCGAUGUGAUACCAGCUAGUUGGUGAGGUAAUGGCUCACCAAGGCUUAGACGUCUAGGGGGUGUGAGAGCAUGGCCCCCACCACUGGACGUNAGAUACUGCCCACGACACCUACCGGGUGGGCUG
rnacentral:rRNA from 1 species